GAGCGGCGAACGGGUGAGUAACACGUGGGUGAUCUGCCCUGCACUUCGGGAUAAGCCUGGGAAACUGGGUCUAAUACCGGAUAUGACCUCCUAUCGCAUGGUGGGUGGUGGAAAGAUUUAUCGGUGCAGGAUGGGCCCGCGGCCUAUCAGCUUGUUGGUGGGGUAAUGGCCUACCAAGGCGACGACGGGUAGCCGACCUGAGAGGGUGACCGGCCACACUGGGACUGAGACACGGCCCAGACUCCUACGGGAGGCAGCAGUGGGGAAUAUUGCACAAUGGGCGAAAGCCUGAUGCAGCGACGCCGCGUGAGGGAUGACGGCCUUCGGGUUGUAAACCUCUUUCAGCAGGGACGAAGCGCAAGUGACGGUACCUGCAGAAGAAGCACCGGCUAACUACGUGCCAGCAGCCGCGGUAAUACGUAGGGUGCAAGCGUUGUCCGGAAUUACUGGGCGUAAAGAGUUCGUAGGCGGUUUGUCGCGU
rnacentral:rRNA from 1 species